rfam:Anolis carolinensis chromosome Tnknown cont2.39743, whole genome shotgun sequence.
CACUAGGGCCUAAAUAUCCUGAAGGCACCAGAUCCCUACUAAACUUGGAAGCUAAGCAGGGCCAUCUCUGGUUAGUUCUUGGAUGGGAGACCACCAAUAAAUAUCAGGUUUAAUGA